rnacentral:rRNA from 1 species
UACGUAGGCAGCAAGCGUUGUUCGGAAUUACUGGGCGUAAAGCGUGUGUAGGCGGUGCUCUAAGUCUGUUGUGAAAUCUCCCGGCUUAACCGGGAGGGUGCGGCGGAAACUGGAGUGCUUGAGGGUGGGAGAGGUAAGCGGAAUUCCUGGUGUAGCGGUGAAAUGCGUAGAUAUCAGGAGGAACACCUGUGGUGUAGACAGCUUACUGGACCACUUCUGACGCUGAGACACGAAAGCGUGGGUAGCAAACAGG